UACGUAGGCAGCGAGCGUUGUUCGGAGUUACUGGGCGUAAAGGGUGUGUAGGCGGUCCCUUAAGUUUGGUGUGAAAUCUCCCGGCUCAACUGGGAGGGUGCGCCGGAUACUGAGGGGCUAGAGUGCGGGAAGGGAAAGUGGAAUUCCUGGUGUAGCGGUGAAAUGCGUAGAUAUCAGGAGGAACACCGGUGGUGCAAACGGCUUUCUGGACCGUAACUGACGCUGAGACGCGAAAGCGUGGGGAGCAAACAGG
rnacentral:rRNA from 1 species